rnacentral:rRNA from 1 species
UACAGAGGGCGCAAGCGUUAUCCGGAUUUACUGGGUUUAAAGGGUGCGUAGGUGGCUCUGUAAGUCAGCGGUGAAAUCUCCAGGCUUAACCUGGAAAUUGCCAUUGAUACUAUAGAUCUUGAAUUAUCUGGAGGUAAGCGGAAUAUGUCAUGUAGCGGUGAAAUGCUUAGAUAUGACAUAGAACACCAGUGGCGAAGGCGACUUACUGGACAGAUAUUGACGCUGAGGUGCGAAAGCCAGGGGAGCGAACGGG